rnacentral:rRNA from 1 species
ACNGGCUGGGCGAAGCCUGAUGCAGCCAUGCCGCGUGUNUGAAGAAGGUCUUCGGAUUGUAAAGCACUUUCAGCUUGGGAGGAAGGGGAUGAGGUUAAUACCUUGCUGAAUUGACGUUACCCACAGAAUAAGCACCGGCUAACUCCGUGCCAGCAGCCGCGGUAAUAG